rnacentral:rRNA from 1 species
AGAGGGUGCAAGCGUCAAUCGGAGUUACUGGGCGUAAAGGGCGCGUAGGCUGAUAUUUUAGUCGGGUGUGAAAUCCCUGGGCUCAACCUAGGAAUUGCAUUCGAUACUGAAUGUCUUGAGUAUGGUAGAGGAAAGUGGAAUUCUCGGUGUAGUGGUUAAAUACGUAGAUAUCGAGAAGAACAUCGGUGGCGAAGGCGACUUUCUGGGCCAAUACUGACGCUGAGGCGCGAAAGCGUGGGGGGAGCAAACAGGAUUAGAUACCCUGGUAGUCCACACUGUAAACGAUGAGAACAGAUGUUGCUGGGUUUUACUCGGCAGUAUCGUAGCUAACGCAUUAAGUUCUCCGCCUGGGAGUACGGUCGCAAGAUUA